rnacentral:rRNA from 1 species
CGUACACAACCUUCCUUUAAGCGGGGAAUAGCCCAGAGAAAUUUGGAUUAAUACCCCAUAAAAUUUUGAGAUGGCAUCAUCUUAUUAUUAAAGCUUCGGCACUUGAAGAUGGGCGUGCGGCUGAUUAGGUAGUUGGCGGGGUAACGGCCCACCAAGCCAGCGAUCAGUAGCUGAUGUGAGAGCAUGAUCAGCCACACGGGCACUGAGACACGGGCCCG